AGAUUAAGUUAUUAAGGGCGCACGGUGGAUGCCUUGGCACUAGAAGCCGAUGAAGGACGUUACUAACGACGAUAUGCUUUGGGUAGCUGUAAGUAAGCGUU
rnacentral:rRNA from 1 species